AGUCGAGGGGUAUAAGGAGCUUGCUCCUUAGAGACCGGCGCACGGGUGCGUAACGCGUAUGCAAUCUACCUUUUACAGGGGAAUAGCCCAGAGAAAUUUGGAUUAAUGCCCCAUAGUAUAUUUGAAUGGCAUCAUUUGAUUAUUAAAGUCACAACGGUAAAAGAUGAGCAUGCGUCCCAUUAGUUAGUUGGUAAGGUAACGGCUUACCAAGACGAUGAUGGGUAGGGGUCCUGAGAGGGAGAUCCCCCACACUGGUACUGAGACACGGACCAGACUCCUACGGGAGGCAGCAGUGAGGAAUAUUGGUCAAUGGGCGCAAGCCUGAACCAGCCAUGCCGCGUGCAGGAUGACGGUCCUAUGGAUUGUAAACUGCUUUUAUACAGGAAGAAACACUCCCUCGUGAGGGAGCUUGACGGUACUGUAGGAAUAAGGAUCGGCUAACUCCGUGCCAGCAGCCGCGGUAAUACGGAGGAUCCAAGCGUUAUCCGGAAUCAUUGGGUUUAAAGGGUCCGUAGGCGGCCCAGUAAGUCAGUGGUGAAAUCUCCCGGCUCAACCGGGAAAUUGCCAUUGAUACUGCUGGGCUUGAAUUAUCAGGAAGUAACUAGAAUAUGUAGUGUAGCGGUGAAAUGCUUAGAGAUUACAUGGAAUACCAAUUGCGAAGGCAGGUUACUACUGGUGGAUUGACGCUGAUGGACGAAAGCGUGGGUAGCG
rnacentral:rRNA from 1 species